ACAAUUGUCGAUGAUUAAUCUGCAAAACGCAUUUGAACGUUUCAGAUUAUCACCGCGUUUAAUCGCCACCGUGAGACUUCCCGGCAAACAAUUCAAGAGACUGUUACCUCUCUCAUGGAAGCUCGAUGGAGCUGGAGAUUUCAAUUUUGAUUUCAUCAUCAAUUGCAGAACCGGAAUCGCAUCCGCCGCUAAAACAGCUUGAGAUCUAGCCGUCUCCGUCGGCAUUGUUGUCCACGAUUGUCGCAACGUGUAGAUCGUGUCCAUCGCCGAAUCUCUCGCUUCUUGCUCGCCGGAUUUCAAAGCUCCGAUUAAGUGAGGGAUACAAGCGGUAGCUGCUUCCGACGAACGGAGUUUUGGAAACGUUGUGAGAAUCGUGUUUAGCGUUCUCACUAUUUCUACGUUUAUCGCCGUCGUUGUCCAAAACUCUCUCUCCAUCGCAUCUGCAUUGAAAUCAGUGAGUGUUUGAUUCUCAAUCCGAUCAUAAAUUUUGAAUUCGGAAUUGAAACUUACUUGUUAGAGAUUUGAUGAUUUCACCAGAGACGUAUUCUUGAAGUGUAUGAUUAGAGAAGAGAGAUUUGAUAAUUAGAGCUGCUUGUGUAGAAACUUGUGGAUUACUAGAUCUAAGCAUUUCCUGAACCCAAUAUACUCCACCAGCUUCAGCCAUAGCUUUACGACUUGUUCUACUAUGCAUUGCAAAGUUUUCCAAAGCACGCAUCACAACCAUUUGCAUUUCCUCGCUCGGUUCAUCUUCAAGCAAGCUGAUUAACGCACGACAUGCCACGGGCGAGUCCGUGGCUUUAGCGAGUCCUUCGUGUUGAGAGAUGUCACCUAGAGCCAUUGCUAUGAGAAUUUUUGCGGAUUCUGAUAUUGUGUCUGGGUCUAGUAUGUACUCUGAUAGAGGGGUAAGUACAAACUGACAUAUCUUUGUCUCUCUAACCUUUGGAUUGCGUAGUAUUAAUUCGAGUAAUCUUGCUGAGAGUUCUUCGCAGUGGUGUGAUCUUAGUAGAUCUAGUAAUGCGUCGAGUGCACUGGAUUCUGCCAUUUCUUGAACGCUUGACGAGUCUUGAUUCUCACGGAUGAUCAAUGCGUCGAUGGCUAAGAUCACUGUGCUUUCAGCUGUGGAGAACAACAUUUUUGACAGAACUGGUAUAGUCACCGUAAAGUAAUAGUGUUCUGGGUUGAUUCUGAGAAUGUUGCAGAGAAUGAAAGCUGCUGAUUCCCAUAGAUAUACAGGAAGCUGAGGAUCUUCGUCGAUGAUAACCUUGGAGAGCUCUUGAAUUCCUCCGGUAUCUGCUACCUCUUUUGGCCAUGUAACUGAAGAUCUCUCUAAACCCAUCAAUGCUAUCUCUUGUAAGUUUCUUACUCUGAUCCCUACCAGUUUCACUAGAGGAGCAAUGAGAUUUUUGGUUGUUAUCUCUUCUUGGAAACGUUGCAUUUCGAGUAGAGAGGUCAGUAGUAUUGUGGUUGCAUUUUUGACCGCUAUUGACUCGGACUCAAGCAGUGGUAUCAAAGGCAUAAUGAUUGUGGAAGAUGCAAUUUUCAAUGAUUCAAGAACCAUUGGCUUCUCCAAGAUGUUUGCUAUAGCUUGUAAACCACCGAGUUGACCUUGAAAAUCCAAGUCUUGUCUAAGCAAAAUCAAAAGGAGCGGUUGUACCAUUUUUAUAGCGUCUUGGCUUCGAGCUAUAACACCAACGUUCGUCAAAACUCUGAAAAGAUCUGCGAUUACAGAACACAAAGAACUUGGCGGCGAUUUGGAGAGUUGGCUAAUACAUUUCUCGAUUAUCCCCAUUUUAAUCAGAUCCAUUUUCCGGGGAGUAUUGUCUUUAGCCAUUUUCGUAAGACAAGAAAUUGCAGCCUCACUGAUCAGAUAGUUUUCGGAAGCCACAUAUCCGUAGAACAGGUUCACACAAUCAUGUUCUUCUGCAACCUCUACAAAUCUUUUGAUAUCCAAGAGUCUGUCUAGUGCAAACAUUCCGGCUUCUAUAGCUGUACUUUUUCCUGUUCGGAUAAGUGAUAUAAGGGAUACAAUGCAACAUGCGGCAGAUGUGCUUGUUCUCAAACCUUCAUUGGUAAAUAGAAAGCGGCAUAUCCUUGCAGCACUUGUCUUUGAUUCAAGCGAAGAACUAUCUAAAGACAAAAUUUUGUAGAUGUUGUCCAAUGGGUUUCCUUCAAGACUAGUAAGAAUAUCUGGCCUUGGAUUUAUUCCCAUAGUUAGCUUCACUAAAGCUGUUAGAGCAGCUACUCUCUCACUCUCUAACGUUGUAUUCAACAUUUCAAUAAGAGGAGAAAGUGCUUUCCAUGCUAAUUCAGAAUCUCUGAUGUGCUCAGAGCUAAACAGUUCACAGAGGACCCUUGCAGCAUUGUAGCGAGUACUUCUAGAAGCAAGAUGAAGAAUUCCUAUGAGCUGCUUCAUGGAACUUAUAGCUGUUUUAUGUCGUGUGAUUUCCGGGCUGCGAAAGAGUGAUUCUAACAGUUCAGAAACGGUAAUCUCUGUUGAAUCUUGAGGGCUCAAAGAAAGGUACUUUGCUAAAGCAUCUAGAGCUCCAGCUUCAGCGAUAAGUAAUUUACUUAAAUCGUCAUUGUCUGCAAUACGACGAAGAAGUCGAAUAGCCACUGGAAUGCCUCCAACUUUAUCUGCAUAUGGCUUCAAGAGAUUCACGAGCAAGGGAAUACAUUUUUUGUAAAAUAUCCAUCAAUCAUCUGCUCAGAUUGCAUGAAAGGUGCUAGCGUUUGCAAAAUAUUUUCUGUUGCUGGAGAUGAGACAACCUUUGGUUCCUGAGACAUAACAGCUAAAAAUGACAUAGCGAUCCAUUUUUCCUCGGAAUCAGAGGAAUUCUCCUACAAAAAUUAAAGAUAAUAAGUCAGCAAAACCAACACUUGCAGGAUUUAGAAGAAAAAGCUAAAGAGAGCAAGUAAGUAUACUUAUUUACCUGUGUGUUAGACUUGUUUCUUUGAAGAUUUUCUGCAAUAAUUUCAAGUCCAUUGCCUUCCAUGACAACAAGUCUGUUCGAAGGAUGAGAAGAGCAAAUAAUGGAGAGUAACCACAUAGAGGCGGUGCUUCCCAAGAUAGUAACUGGAUCAACCAUUUCAGAGUCAUCCAUCCUUAAGCACAAAUUGCUUAAACGAGACAAAAUCUCUAUUGCUUUAUCUUGCACCAAAGGAUGACCUUCAGCUAAACCGCGGACAAGAGAGUCUAAAUUUGAAGGAACUUCACCGAAUGCAGAAAAAGGGUUAUGUGACAAGUUAGCACCAUAUUUAGCUUUGGCUAGUAAAGAGAGUACUUCUAAGACGUCGAUGAAAGCGCUGUUGUUCAGUGUUCCCUCUCUCAGUACUCUGGUCAAAGCAGAAACAACGUCAUCGUUUAAUGCUUCAGCUGCAACAUUUGGGUCUGAAAGAAGGUUCGCAAGAGUGGACAUGGGAUUCUCUGUUGACUCGAUGGGGUUUGUUUUUGCUGACUUUAUCAAUGGUUUGAUCACUUCGACUUCUGGACCGGAUAAUUUCUUUGUUGCAGUUUUUUUCUUUGUUGGAUUAGAUAGAGAGCCCAAGGCAUGCGCUAACUGCGUUGCAACAGCGUGAGUGUUUCCGCUUAAAAGCUUUGUGCACGGAUUGUCAUCCUCAUCAAAUCCAAGACCACCACAAAGGUCUUUUCUUGAACUGAAUAGAUCAGCCAAGACAGAAGCUGCGUUCUCUUUCAUCUUCUCGUUUGAUGAGGCAAGUCUCUGGACAAGCGACCUCAAUCCAUUAUUCGCUGCGGAACCCUUGGUGACAAAUUCUUCCAAAGAAGCCGAUGCAAGAACAUGGCCUAGAACUCUAAUCAAAUGAGUCUUUGAUUUAGGAGCAUCUCCAAGAAACAAAGCCUGUACUUGCUCGAUAACACUUGGAUCAGCUGUUUUAAUCAGUUUCAAAAGCGUAUUUGCUGAGCUCUCUUGUGAUUUUGGUCCACCGUUCUUUAAAAGACCCAAAAGUGCAGGAAUAGCUCCUGCUUUCUCAACGCAGAGGCGGAUUUCUUCGCUGUGACAACAUAGGUUCAAAAUUACACGGACCGCAUCGUCCUUUGCUUUCUGAGAUACACCAGUCUCUAAUAUCUGCAAUAAUGGAGGAAUCCCACCUGCAGAAGUAACAGCCCAUCUACUUUCUUCGACAUUAUCGGUCAAGAUCGCUAAGAACUCAACAGACAGUUCUUGAUGUUGUUCGCUAGACAAACCAAGGUACGGUAUGAGGAUUUGUAUCCCUUCUCUCUUCCCAAUAGCAUCCCAAACAUCACCAUGCUUGCAUAAAUUUGACAAACAAGUAAUCAUCCGCUCACGUGGACCGUCCGUGGCCAAUAUUGUUAGACAGACUAAAACCCUCUUAGCGUCAACAUUGUUGAGUAGUUUUGAUAGAUCAACAUUUCCGAAUAGACUUUCCAUAGCCUCCAAGAUACGUUCGUGGAUCAAUUGAGUAUCCCGGGGCUUUAGUAGUUUCACUAGUAUUCCUUCUGUUAGUGUUGGAUCAAAAGCUUCUCUAGUAUCACCGCAACUUAGCUGAAAUUUUCUCAGAGCAUAAGCAAGAGCUCCAAGAAUAUCAGCGAUGGGCUCAGUGAGGCGUGGAGACAAAGAUAGCCCUCCAAGAUACACUAUCAAACCAGACAUUCCUCCGCAUAAGUUUGCUAAAGCUUGUGUCCCAUAACUUUGUAAGACGCGUUCAGUUUCCUCCUCCACUGACUCUUUAGAAGAUGCAACCACUGCGCUAAUAAGAAGGUGGAUCCCAUCUAAAUCUCUUGCCACAGUUAUAGCUUCUUCUGACUUUGAUGUGAUGGCUUCUAGAGCGUUGACUACACUGGCACGUACGAAAACACUAUUUUCUUCACCUAGAAGCUGAACCAGAACUUGCACAGCACCUGACUCUUCAACUUUUGAGAUACUGCUGGUAAAAAUCCUGAUAAGACGAGCUAAGAGAGAAGCUGCGUUUGAUUGAGAUACCGGGUUACUAGACUGGAGAAGCUUUAAGAUGAUAUCUACUCCGCCAUCUUCAAGUGUUAAUGCCCAAAACCCGUCUUUAUCACCGCAAAGAUUUCUCAAAGCUCCAACCAAAUGUCCUUCCACUGUCUUGUCCUGUUUUUUCCCCGUCUUUAAUUGAUCCCACAAACUCGGUACCACGCCUUCCGUGACAAAUAUUUUAGUACCUACAUUAUCACCAUCCAUUCCACACAAGGAAACUUCAUAUAUGGCCUCGGCUACAACUCUUUUUGCAUCCACAGAGUCAGACUUCAAAAGUGAUAGCAGCGGUGGGAUACAUCCGCCUAUCAGUAUCUUAGAACGAACGUUUUUGUCUUUGCAUAGAACGGUUAGGACUGAAGCGGAAUUGAGUUUUGCCAAGAGGGUUCCACUCCUAAGAAGUGAUAUAAAGGCAGGCAUGGCGUUCACAUUCUGGCUAAUGAUCUUUCUACAUUCCUUUUUACCCUUGGCUAAACCAAGAAGCCGAGCGGUGCUAAGCUCUUUCUCUUGCGCCGAUGAUUUCUUGGCAUGAAGCUGUUCGAUGAGACGUGUGAUUGUAACCGCUGCUUUCUCUGGAUCAUCCAUCUCAGACGUCAUUGUUUUAUUAUCGUCCCUGCACCCAAAAGCCCUCAAUUAUACAAAGAUAAAGAUAGCAAAGCAAAUAGUCAAAAAGUAUUGAAAGCAAUUCGAUACCUCAGCCGAGGAGAAGACACGGAAGGAGUCUCUUGGUCAUUCGUUGAGGAGGGAGGCAUUGACAUAUUCUCUUUUCUGAAGAAACUCCUUUAGAAAACAGAAACAAAAACAUUUAGCUAAAUGGAUUCAACAACAAAUCAAACUAAAGAUAGAAUCCUCUUGAUUUUGUAUUAUUGUCAUUUGGUGAUUAAGAGAUUUUUUUCCUGCCACAAUCAAAUGCACAAUUCAUUUACAAAAUUACCUUUUAUGCAAACGUUCUAUUACUCCUUUUUA
rnacentral:lncRNA from 1 species